rnacentral:misc_RNA from 1 species
GUGAAUCAUCAAAUUUUUGAACGCAAAUUGCACUCCCUGGUAUUCCGGAGAGCAUGCCUGUUUGAGGGUCAGGUUAAAUAAAAACUGUUGUAUUUGCUGCUUUUCGUGGUGACGCACCUGAAUUGGGUCGUCUUUCCUUCGGUUCAGUGACCUAAAAUUUCGCAUGAUUUUUUUCGAACGUAUUCAAAUGAUUUUACGUACUUUUGCGAUAUCGAAUACUAGGUGUGGUCAUCCUCAUGAUUCGCGCCUAUAAUUUUUCAUCAAAA